rnacentral:lncRNA from 1 species
CAAGGCAUUUAUGAUUAUGGAUUAAAAUUUCUCCUGGAUGUCUUCAUAGAUAAACUUGCUGUGUGUCCUGGGGAGUCUCUCUGUGCAGCACUUAUGUUCUCUGUUGCUUCCAAGCAAUCAUAAUCAGUCUAGCAGCACAAGAUGGAUGAAGCUUACACAAAGAGCCAUGAAGUACAUCCGUCCCCACUGCUCAUUCAGCUGGCUUGUGCAUGUGAUUCUAAACAUCAUAAGUACCAUGAGAGUGACUUGUCCUCAUAAGAGCAGGGAUGGCAAUAACUUUCAGUUUUAGAUGUUGUGCUUGUUUUGUUUCUGGAACAUUGUGUGGGUUCCCCCUCUGCUUUACUGAUGGUAUGUGUUUGAGUCACAUUGUCUGGGAUAGGGUCCCCAUGAUGAACAUCCUCAGCAGGGACAAAGGGACAGGUAGAGUAUUUUCACAAUGCCAAGUCCUGUCCUAGCAUCUUCCCUGUGUUCAGAACCACCCUGCCCAUUCUGAUCCUCAUGUGGACUUUUGUUUUCUGCUAUUCAUUAUCCUCCAUCCUGGUUCUUUAUAUAGUAAUGUUUUGAUAAUAUGAGACUAUCAUCUCAAAAUAUACUUGUAUUGUAGAAACAUAU